GGGCCAGACUCCUACGGGAGGCAGCAGUGGGGAAUAUUGCACAAUGGGGGAAACCCUGAUGCAGCGACGCCGCGUGAGUGAAGAAGUCAUUCGUUACGUAAAGCUCUAUCAGCAGGGAAGAGAGUGACGGUACUUGAGUAAGAAGCCCCGGCUAACUACGUGCCAGCAGCCGCGGUAAUACGUAGGGGGCAAGCGUUAUCCGGAUUUACUGGGUGUAAAGGGAGCGUAGACGGCGAAGAAAGUCUGGAGUGAAAGCCCGCGGCUUAACCGCGGAACUGCUUUGGAAACUUUUUGGCUGGAGUACCGGAGAGGUAAGCGGAAUUCCUAGUGUAGCGGUGAAAUGCGUAGAUAUUAGGAGGAACACCAGUGGCGAAGGCGGCUUACUGGACGGUAACUGACGUUGAGGCUCGAAAGCGUGGGGAGCAAACAGGAUUAGAUACCCCAGUACUG
rnacentral:rRNA from 1 species